rnacentral:rRNA from 1 species
GGAAUAUUGCACAAUGGGCGCAAGCCUGAUGCAGCAACGCCGCGUGCGGGAAGAAGGCCUUAGGGUUGUAAACCGCUUUCAGCAGGGAAGAAAAUGACGGUACCUGCAGACGAAGGAGCGGCCAACUACGUGCCAGCAGCCGCGGUGACACGUAGGCUCCAAGCGUUGUCCGGAUUUAUUGGGCGUAAAGAGCUCGUAGGCGGUUUAGUAAGUCGGGUGUGAAAACUCUGGGCUUAACCCAGAGACGCCACCCGAUACUGCUAUGACUUGAGUACGGUAGGGGAGUGGGGAAUUCCUGGUGUAGCGGUGAAAUGCGCAGAUAUCAGGAGGAAUACCAGUGGCGAAGGCGCCACUCUGGGCCGUAACUGACGCUGAGGAGCGAAAGCCAGGGGAGCAAAC